AACUUAUACAGCGUCUUUGGGAUCACCAUCUGCAGGGACAACAGAAGAUGCACUGCCUCAGGGUCCUGCUGAGAAAAUGAUCACUGAGCACAAAGUGAAAAUCACAAAUUGCCUGAUGGCAGAUCGUAGCCACAUCCUUCAGCAUAUGCAACAAGAAGAAGUCAUCACCAAGAGAAAAUAUAAUAAACUAAUGGAAAUAUCACAGUCAGAAGAAAGUAUUAUCGACCUGAUCGAUCACAUGCUUGAUAACGGUGAAAAGUCCUGCUCUCAGUUUCUUGAGGUUCUCAGAAAGCCUGAUGUUCUCAAAACCUUCCCAAUGCUAAUAGAAAUUACAAAGAAUUGGCCAUGAGCAACA